rnacentral:rRNA from 1 species
CCUACGGGUGGCAGCAGUGGGGAAUAUUGGACAAUGGGGGCAACCCUGAUCCAGCCAUGCCGCGUGUGUGAAGAAGGCCCUCGGGUUGUAAAGCACUUUCAGUGAGGAAGAACGCCUGGUGGUUAAUACCCAUCAGGAAAGACAUCACUCACAGAAGAAGCACCGGCUAACUCCGUGCCAGCAGCCGCGGUAAUACGGAGGGUGCGAGCGUUAAUCGGAAUUACUGGGCGUAAAGCGCGCGUAGGUGGCUUGAUAAGCCGGUUGUGAAAGCCCCGGGCUCAACCUGGGAACGGCAUCCGGAACUGUCAAGCUAGAGUGCAGGAGAGGAAGGUAGAAUUCCCGGUGUAGCGGUGAAAUGCGUAGAGAUCGGGAGGAAUACCAGUGGCGAAGGCGGCCUUCUGGACUGACACUGACACUGCGGUGCGAAAGCGUGGGUAGCAAACAGGAUUAGAUACCCUGGUAGUC